AAUUAAUUUUAAUUAAAUUAAAUUUAAAUUAAAUUAAUUAAAAUUUAAUCUAUAAUUUAAUUAGUCUCAAUAAAAUUAUAACAUUUACAAUUAAGUCUCUGCACUAACAAUUAGCAGCUGCCAAAACUAUAACACUUACAAAUUAGCAGUUUCUAAAAUUCAAACUAUCAAUCCGAUUGAUAAUUCAAAUAUGAUCCAAGCCAUUGAUCAGGUCAUGCUUCUUUUUGUGUGCAGCCCCUCAGGUUCUAUUCUGUCUGG
rnacentral:lncRNA from 1 species